UACGUAGGUGGCAAGCGUUGUCCGGAAUUAUUGGGCGUAAAGGGCUCGCAGGCGGUUCCUUAAGUCUGAUGUGAAAGCCCCCGGCUCAACCGGGGAGGGUCAUUGGAAACUGGGGAACUUGAGUGCAGAAGAGGAGAGUGGAAUUCCACGUGUAGCGGUGAAAUGCGUAGAUAUGUGGAGGAACACCAGUGGCGAAGGCGACUCUCUGGUCUGUAACUGACGCUGAGGCGCGAAAGCGUGGGGAGCAAACAGG
rnacentral:rRNA from 1 species